rnacentral:rRNA from 1 species
GACGAACGCUGGCGGCGUGCUUAAUACAUGCAAGUCGAACGGAAAGGCCCUGCUUUUGUGGGGUUCUCGAGUGGCGAACGGGUGAGUAACACGUGAGUAACCUGCCCUUGACUUUGGGAUAACUUCAGGAAACUGGGGCUAAUACCGGAUAGGAGCUCCUGCUGCAUGGUGGGGGUUGGAAAGUUUCGGCGGUUGGGGAUGGACUGGCGGCUUAUCAGCUUGUUGGUGGGGUAGUGGCUUACCAAGGCUUUGACGGGUAGCCGGCCUGAGAGGGUGACCGGCCACAUUGGGACUGAGAUACGGCCCAGACUGCUACGGGAGGCAGCAGUGGGGAAUAUUGCACAAUGGGCGGAAGCCUGAUGCAGCAACGCCGCGUGCGGGAUGACGGCCUUCGGGUUGUAAACAGCUUUCGCCUGUGACGAAGCGUGAGUGACGGUAAUGGGUAAAGAAGCACCGGCUAACUACGUG